GUUCUGUCAGCCGUUCCAUUUCGCGUGGUGUUGGACCUGGGGAUAGUAGCUUAAAAGACCGUCUCUUUUCUUGAAAUUUCACUACCUUUUUUUUUUUUUUUUACCUGACUUUGUGGAUUGAAUCCAUACUAACUUAAAGGAGCAUGGCUUGGCUUCACACCACCUUUUUCAUCUCCGUUAGGCACUUACACCCAGUUUUUCAGUUACAGUUGAAAGGUGCUACAAAGGAUAUAGAACCGGUCUUUGGAAUGUACCUGAUAUCUGUGGUGGCUGCAGAAUCAUUCAUAUGGCAGAAAAGAAAGACAUCAAUGUUCUCUUGUUAGUGUAAUAAAAGAUGUCUAUCAUU